rnacentral:rRNA from 1 species
AUGAACUCCUCCUCUGCUCCGGGCCCGGACGGUCUUCCGGUCAUUUUCUUCCAGACCUUCUAGAACGUGAUUAAACCAGAGGUCAUGGCCAUCUUUGAUGAAUUCUUUGUGCGAUCUAUUGACCUAGGCAACCUCAACUUUGGGACCAUCUCCCUCAUCCCCAAGGUCCCUAGGGCGACUGACAUCCGCCAGUUCUGCCCGAUUACGGUCAUUAACGUGAUCUUUCGGAUCCUGGCCAAGGGGUACGCCAAUAGGGUGACCCUGCUUGCAGAUCGGAUUACCCACCCUAACCAAUAAGCCUUCAUUAAGGGUCGGUACAUCCUGGAUGGUGCCCUG